AAAUAAUUAAUAAAAUAUUAAUAAAACAAAUUUCUCUUUCUUUCUCACGUUUUACUCUUUCUCUCUCACUUUUCCUAUUUCCUAUCUCCAGCUCCAGAACGCUAGCUCCAGAAUGCUAGCUCUUCUUUCUCGCUCUUCUUUCCUAAGCGUAACUCCAUAACUCCAUAGCUCUUCAUAACUCGAAUAACUGAAGACCUGAGCUGAAGACCUAAAGAACUGAAGAACUGAGCUCCAUAACUCGAAUUUCAUCAAGUCGAAUUUCUCAAAGAGCUGAAGAGCUGAAGAUACAAAGGUGGGCAUGGAAGAAAUCAAGAGUGGAAGCUGAAGAACUCAAGUGCUGAGAUUCCUUUUCAUUCUCUAGUAAUCUGUACAACCGAUUUAUAAAGGGAAAUAUGGGUGAUCAAAUUUGAAGUGGAUGAUGAAGAGUUUCUGAACUAUUGUAGGAGUUUGAAUACAUUAUAUUUAAUUUUGUGAAAUAUAUUCAUUGCUAGAAUAUAUUGAACUAUUGUAGUACUUUUUGAACUAUUAUGUACACAUUUAGAAUAUUUAUGUAUAAGUAUGGGUAUGUACACAACACAUACUAUAUCUUUUGAAGUUUACGGGAAAUCUAUAAAAUUGAACUACUUAUUAGCGCUAGA